CAAGUAGAUAUUCACAGUUUAAUUUUGAUAUAGAGAGAAGAAACAAUGUUCACGGCUUCCCAUUUGUUACUGUUCCUGGUUUUUGGUAUUACACAAGGUAGUGUUUUAUACGAUCCUUCCACAGUGGAUGAAGCAAAUACUAGUCUCAGCUGUUCUGUCGAUGGAAAAAUUGUGCCUAAUGGUCACAAUUUUACAACAAAACAAAGUGGUCCAUGUAUAACAUACAGAUGCCAGAAUCGAGCAUUUAUACCCAUAGAUAUACGUUGCCGAUUAUCCGACAACUCAUGCGUGCCAAUAGGACACAAAAUUAAAAUCAGUAAUUGUAUGGUCCAUCAAU